rnacentral:rRNA from 1 species
GACGAACGCUGGCGGCGUGCCUAAUACAUGCAAGUUGAGCGCUGAAGGUUGGUACUUGUACCGACUGGAUGAGCAGCGAACGGGUGAGUAACGCGUGGGGAAUCUGCCUUUGAGCGGGGGACAACAUUUGGAAACGAAUGCUAAUACCGCAUAAAAACUUUAAACACAAGUUUUAAGUUUGAAAGAUGCAAUUGCAUCACUCAAAGAUGAUCCCGCGUUGUAUUAGCUAGUUGGUGAGGUAAAGGCUCACCAAGGCGAUGAUACAUAGCCGACCUGAGAGGGUGAUCGGCCACAUUGGGACUGAGACACGGCCCAAACUCCUACGGGAGGCAGCAGUAGGGAAUCUUCGGCAAUGGACGAAAGUCUGACCGAGCAACGCCGCGUGAGUGAAGAAGGUUGUCGGAUCGUAAAACUCUGUUGGUAGAGAAGAACGUUGGUGAGAGUGGAAAGCUCAUCAAGUGACGGUAACUACCCAGAGAGGGACGGCUAACUAUGUG